CCAUUAAAUAAUUAAGCAACAAAUUAAAGUGUGAAAUUACCGACCGUCUCUAGCGCAAGUGGGAAAGGACUUGGCGAGGUUUCAAAUUCGAAUAUUAGUUGAUUCAUAUUUCUAACUAAGUUUAUUUUUAAAUAAAAUAAAUAAAGCGAUUAGCAUCCUAUCUAUCUUUAUUAAAAAAAAAAAAGUGUGAAAUCACAAGCCACUUUUCC
rnacentral:lncRNA from 1 species